rnacentral:tRNA from 1 species
GACAGCGUGGCCGAGCGGUCUAAGGCGCCAGACUCAAGUGUAAACUUGCCUGCAGUAGCAGGUCUGAGCGUUCUGGUCAGUGAAUACUGGCGUGGGUUCGAAUCCCACCGCUGUCA